UACGUAGGGUGCAAGCGUUAAUCGGAAUUACUGGGCGUAAAGCGUGCGCAAGCGGUGAUGUAAGACAGGUGUGAAAUCCCCGGGCUUAACCUGGGAACUGCAUUUGUGACUGCAUCGCUGGAGUGCGGCAGAGGGGGAUGGAAUUCCGCGUGUAGCAGUGAAAUGCGUAGAUAUGCGGAGGAACACCGAUGGCGAAGGCAAUCCCCUGGGCCUGCACUGACGCUCAUGCACGAAAGCGUGGGGAGCAAACAGG
rnacentral:rRNA from 1 species